ACGCUGUGCCCGAACAAAACAACUUGUAAAGGAUGCCGUGAAGGCCAUCAAAGGUGGUGUGGACCCUCAGCCUGUUAAUGGCGGCCUUGGGGGUGCAUACUACUUCAGGAACAUCAAGGGUCAGAACAUCGCUAUUGUUAAGCCGACAGAUGAGGAGCCGUUUGCACCAAACAAUCCAAAAGGUUUCAUUGGAAAAACUCUCGGCCAGCCGGGACUAAAAAGGUCAGUGCGGGUUGGCGAGACUGGGUUCAGAG
rnacentral:misc_RNA from 1 species